CCGGGGUGAGUAACGCGUGGGUAACCUGCCCUAUACACAUGGAUAACAUACUGAAAGUUUACUAAUACAUGAUAAUAUAUAUUUACGGCAUCGUAGAUAUAUCAAAGUGUUAGCGGUAUAGGAUGGACCCGCGUCUGAUUAGCUAGUUGGUGAGAUAACUGCCCACCAAGGCGACGAUCAGUAGCCGACCUGAGAGGGUGAUCGGCCACAUUGGAACUGAGACACGGUCCAAACUCCUACGGGAGGCAGCAGAC
rnacentral:rRNA from 1 species